GUCCUUUAGAAUUUGAUUUAAGGUCUAACCUGCCCACUGAAAUUUUUUUUAAUGGCCGCAGUAAUUUGACUGUGCAAAGGUAGCAUAAUCAUUAGUUUUUUAAUUGAAAGCUUGUAUGAAGGGUUGGACGAGGUAAAAUCUGUCUCUAAUAAAUUUAAUUUAGAAUUUAACUUUUAAGUUAAAAGGCUUAAAUAAUAUUAAAAGACGAGAAGACCCUAUAGAUCUUUAUAAUUAAAUUAUUAGAUUUAAUUAAGAAUUUUUAAAAUUUUAGUUAUUUAAUUAUUUUAUUGGGGUAAUAUAAAGAUUUAAGUAAUUCUUUUUUUUUAUUUACAUAGAUUUAUGGWUUUAUGAUCCAAUUAUAUUGAUUAUAAGAUUAAGUUACCUUAGGGAUAACAGCGUAAUUUUUUUAGAGAGUUCUUAUCGAUAAAAAAGUUUGCGACCUCGAUGUUGGAUUAAAGAUUAUUUCAGGUGUAGAAGUUUGAAAAUUUUGGUCUGUUCGACCAUUAAAUCUUUACAUGAUCUGAGUUCAGACCGGCGUAAGCCAGGUCGGUUUCUAUCUUUAAUUAAUUAUAAUAUUUUAGUACGAAAGGACCAAUUAUUUAAUACAAAGUAUUUAAAUUUUGAUUAUUAUUAA
rnacentral:rRNA from 1 species